ensembl:ncRNA C33D12.13 ncRNA
UUGAAGGCACCGAUGAUUGGUUAUUGUCGGACGAUGAGGGGUGACUAUAAGACAAGUUAAAUGUGCGAGAGUGGGCGGGGCGACGGCCUGGCAAUUUGGGUGAGAGAAGAGGGUGCGUUGACAUUGGGAAGGAUG